UGGGGAAUAUUGGACAAUGGGGGCAACCCUGAUCCAGCAAUGCCGCGUGUGUGAAGAAGGUCUUCGGAUUGUAAAGCACUUUCGACGGGGACGAUGACGACGGUACCCGUAGAAGAAGCCCCGGCUAACUUCGUGCCAGCAGCCGCGGUAAUACGAAGGGGGCUAGCGUUGCUCGGAAUGACUGGGCGUAAAGGGCGUGUAGGCGGUUUACACAGUCAGAUGUGAAGUCCCCGGGCUUAACCUGGGAGCUGCAUUUGAUACGUGUAGACUAGAGUGUGAGAGAGGGUUGUGGAAUUCCCAGUGUAGAGGUGAAAUUCGUAGAUAUUGGGAAGAACACCGGUGGCGAAGGCGGCAACCUGGCUCAUGACUGACGCUGAGGCGCGAAAGCGUGGGGAGCAAACAGGUUAGAUACCCUGGUAGUCCACGCUGUAAACGAUGUGUGCUAGAUGUUGGGUAACUUUGUUAUUCAGUGUCGCAGUUAACGCGUUAA
rnacentral:rRNA from 1 species